AUUGAACGCUGGCGGCAGGCCUAACACAUGCAAGUCGAACGAGUGGCGGACGGGUGAGUAAUGUCUGGGAAACUGCCCGAUGGAGGGGGAUAACUACUGGAAACGGUAGCUAAUACCGCAUACCAUCGGAUGUGCCCAGAUGGGAUUAGCUAGUAGGUGGGGUAACGGCUCACCUAGGCGACGAGCCCUAGCUGGUCUGAGAGGAUGACCAGCCACACUGGAAUGGGGACACGGGCCAGAGUCCUACGGGAGGGAGCAGUGGGGAAUAGGGCACAAUGGGGGCAAGCCUGAUGCAGGCAGGCCGCGUGGAUGAAGAAGGCCGUCGGGUUGUAAAGUACUUUGAGCGAGGAGGGGUCACUCGCAGAAGAAGCACCGGCUAACUCCGUGCCAGCAGCCGGGGAAUAC
rnacentral:rRNA from 1 species